GCUUGCUUAGACCAGCAGGCAGAGUCAGCGGUCUUAAAAACCGUACAGGACGGGUUCGAAUCCCGUAGCAAGCACCA
rnacentral:tRNA from 1 species